rnacentral:rRNA from 1 species
AUUGAACGCUGGCGGCGUGCCUAACACAUGCAAGUCGAUCGGUAACGCGGGGGCAACCCUGGCGACGAGAGGCGGACGGGUGAGCAAUGCCUGGGAAUCUGCCCAUCAGCGGAGGACAACCCGGAGAAACCCGGGCUAAUACCGCAUACGCUCUACGGAGGAAAGCCGGGGACCGCAAGGCCUGGCACUGAUGGAUGAGCCCAAGUCGGAUUAGCUAGUUGGCGGGGUAACGGCCCACCAAGGCGACGAUCCGUAGCUGGUCUGAGAGGACGAUCAGCCACACCGGAACUGAGACACGGUCCGGACUCCUACGGGAGGCAGCAGUGGGGAAUAUUGGACAAUGGGGGAAACCCUGAUCCAGCGACGCCGCGUGGGUGAAGAAGGCCUGCGGGUUGUAAAGCCCUUUCGGUAGAGACGAAAGCUUCCGGUCUAACACACCGGGAGGUUGACUUAACCUACAGAAGAAGCACCGGCUAACUCUGUGCCAGCCGCCGCGGUAACAC